UACGAAGGGGGCUAGCGGUGUUCGGAAUUACUGGGCGUAAAGCGCACGCAGGCGGUUUUAUAAGUCAGGGGUGAAAUCCCGGGGCUCAAGCUCGGAAUUGCCUUUGAUACUGUCUAUCGUGAGUCCGGGAGAGGUGAGUGGAAUUCCUAGUGUAGAGGUGAAAUACGUAGAUAUUAGGAAGAACACCAGUGGCGAAGGCGGCUCACUGGCCCGGUACUGACGCUCAUGUGCGAAAGCGUGGGGAUCAUACAGG
rnacentral:rRNA from 1 species